AAUAAAAGCAAUUGUAAGUUUCAAAGGUACAAACAGAGCAUACAUAUACAACUUUUGAAGAAGAUGGCUUCAUGUUUUGAUUUUUUUCUUUCUCUGAAAUUUGGCAAAAUGGCAAAGCGUCUCGUUCGGUGGACCGGUAAUGAUAAGUCUCAAGCUUUGCCUCAGCCAUCAAAAUCUCAAGUUAGAAUUUUGACGCGAGACCAACCAGGAGGAUUUAAUUAUUGAUCGUAACAUGCAGCAGAUGCAGAUGCAGCACACAGUAACUGUGACAGAUUAAUUAUUCUGUGAUGAAUUUAUUAGAGUUCUGUUACUUAAGGUUUAGCUUCUUCUUUCUUAAGUUUUAGUUUCUAUAUUUUGCAGAAGAUUUAGCUCGUUAACUAUUGAAGUGAUGGAGUUGUAUCUUCUGUUUUAGCUUCUGAUGUACAAUAGUUGUAAUUGAAUUGGUGAAGCAAUAAAAAGUUACCUAUAUUAUGGUCAUCUGUGAUGGCAAGUCUUAAA